UACGAAGGGGGCUAGCGUUGCUCGGAAUGACUGGGCGUAAAGGGCGCGUAGGCGGAUCGUACAGUCAGAUGUGAAAUUCCUGGGCUUAUCCUGGGGGCUGCAUUUGAUGCGUGGGGUCUAGAGUGAGGAAGAGGGUCGUGGAAUUCCCAGUGUAGAGGUGAAAUUCGUAGAUAUUGGGAAGAACACCGGUGGCGAAGGCGGCGACCUGGUCCUUUACUGACGCUGAGGCGCGAAAGCGUGGGGAGCAAACAGG
rnacentral:rRNA from 1 species